UGCAUGCUUUUACAGUAUGGAAAUUGGUGAUUUAUAAUAACUUGGCAAAUCGCAAAGUGAAAACAGGCGAUAAAUCAUUCAAGUUUCUGACCUAUCAGCUUUCGACGGUAUGGUAUUGGCUUACCGUGGCAGUGACGGUUAACGGGGGAUUAGGGUUCGAUUCCGGAGAGGGAGCCUGAGAAACGGCUACCACAUCUAAGGAAGGCAGCAGGCGCGCAAAUUACCCAAUUCUAACAGUUUGAGAGAGGUAGUAACAAGAAAUAACAAUACAAGGCAAUUAAAAUGUUUUGUAAUUGGAAUGAUAGAAAUUUAAACCCUUUUUAAAGUAUCAAUUGGAGGGCAAGUCUGGUGCCAGCAGCCGCGGUAAUUCCAGCUCCAAUAGCGUAUAUUAAAAUUGUUGCAGUUAAAAAGCUCGUAGUUGAAGUUCUGCUAAAAGUAACCGGUCUGCUUUUAAUAAAAGUGGUAUCUUGGUGUGUAUUUAGCAAUGAUGUCCUUUGAAGUGUUUUUUACUUUAUUGUAAUAAAGCAUAUUCA
rnacentral:rRNA from 1 species